CACAGACACAAACACAGUCAGACACACACACACACUCACAAACACAGUCAGACACAAACACACACACAGUCAGACACACAGUCAGACACACACACACACGGACAAACACACACACAGUCAGGCACAUACACAGUCAGACACAUACACAGUCAGACAAACACACACACACAGUCAGACACAUACACAGACACAGACAGUCAGACACAAACACACACACAGUCACACACACACACACACACACACAGUCAGACACAAACACACACAUACACAAACACAGUCAGACACAAACACACACACUCACAAACACAGUCAGACACAAACACACACACAGUCAGACACACACACACAUUAACUUUUUUUUAAAUUUAAAUCCCCCCCCCCAACCUCCUUACCUUUGGGAGUGCUGGGGGGGGGUCUCUC